UGAGUCCGAGUUGCUAAGGCGACGAAGUGACUGAAGUCAAGCUUCCAAGAAAAGCCCGAACCACGUUAAUUUACAAUUACCUGUACCCGAAACCGACACAGGUAGGGAGGUAGAGAAUACUAAGGGGCGCGAGAUAACUCUCUCUAAGGAACUCGGCAAAAUUACCUCGUAACUUCGGAAGAAGAGGUACCCCCGCGAGGGGGUCGCAGUGAAGAGGCCCAGGCGACUGUUUACCAAAAACACAGGACUCCGCAAAGUCGAAAGACGCAGUAUGGGGGCUGACGCCUGCCCAGUGCCGGAAGGUUAAGGAAGUUGGUCAGGAGCAAUCUAAAGCUGACGACCGAAGCCCCGGUGAACGGCGGCCGUAACUAUAACGGUCCUAAGGUAGCGAAAUUCCUUGUCGGGUAAGUUCCGACCCGCACGAAAGGCGUAACGAUCUGGGCACUGUCUCGGAGAGAGACUCGGCGAAAUAGGAUUGUCUGUGAAGAUACGGACUACCUGCACCUGGACAGAAAGACCCUAUGAAGCUUUACUGUAGCUUGGAAUUGGGUUCGGGCUUCGCUUGCGCAGGAUAGGUGGGAGGCUAUGAAGUAUCUCUUGUGGGAGAUAUGGAGCCAACGGUGAGAUACCACUCUGGCGAGGCUAGAAUUCUAACCCUAACCCCUAAACGGGGUAGGGAACAGUUUCAGGUGGGCAGUUUGACUGGGGCGGUCGCCUCCUAAAGUGUAACGGAGGCGCGCAAAGGUUCCCUCAGGCUGGUUGGAAAUCAGCCGAAGAGUGCAAAAGCAGAAGGGAGCUUGACUGCGAGACUGACAAGUCAAGCAGGGACGAAAGUCGGCUUUAGUGAUCCGACGGCACCGAGUGGAAGGGCCGUCGCUCAACGGAUAAAAGUUACUCUAGGAUAACAGGCUGAUCUCCCCCAAGAGUUCACAUCGACGGGGAGGUUUGGCACCUCGAUGUCGGCUCAUCGCAACCUGGGGCGGAAGUACGUCCCAAGGGUUGGGCUGUUCGCCCAUUAAAGCGGUACGUGAGCUGGGUUCAGAACGUCGUGAGACAGUUCGGUCCAUAUCCGGUGUAGGCGCAAGAGCAUUGAGAGGAGCCUUCCUUAGUACGAGAGGACCGGGAAGGACGCACCGCUGGUGUACCUGUUAUCGUGCCAACGGUAAACGCAGGGUAGCCAAGUGCGGAGUGGAUAACCGCUGAAAGCAUCUAAGUGGAAGCCCACCUCAAGAUGAGUGCUCUCAUGGCAGUAAGCCAGUAAGGUCACGGGAAGACCACCCGUUGAUAGGCGCUAGGUGGAAGUCCAGUAAUGGAUGCAGCCAAGGCGUACUAAUAGACC
rnacentral:rRNA from 1 species